rnacentral:lncRNA from 1 species
GGGAAGAUGUUGUGGCUAUUUAUUAAACUUUUAUGGCACAAUCCAGAGCACUCACAAUACAAACAGGUGGUACAUUAAGCCAAGUUUUGCAUAAUCGUAAGCCACAGCCAUCUCUAGCUAACUUGUGAGCAACUUCAUUAGCAGUACGUCUAGUUCACUAACUUUGAAUGCCUCAAAAGUUCUUAGCUUACCCUUGAUCUCCUCAAUCAAGUGUCCAUGCAACGACCUAUCCCUUACAUUUGAGUGCAACGACCUAUCUAAGUAGGAUCCUCGGUUUCAGCAUUUCCAUUGUAAUCUCCACUGCACGCCUGCAAGCCAUCAGUUCAGCACACUCGGGAUCUAGGAUAUGGGGGCUUCCUGGCUGGAGCACUACCGAAUCCAUGUAGGCAAUGCGAGCUACUAUCUCACGUAAAGCGAGACAUAGCUACGCCCGCUCUUGUGUGCAUCAUGUUGGGUCCGCAGAGAAGCCGCUAAGACGCUCACAUGUGCGGGGCCCAGUACCGCACCACUGCUCCUCUGCACUUCAGCAAAACAACAAGAAAAAAAAUUAUUGACUUCGUUAGGAAAUGCGGCUAGAAAGAUUUUAAUAUAUUAUUAAUUUUUUUGUUGUGGUAGAGAUCUCUAUAUUGAAAAAGCAUGACUACUAAAUUAUAUUCAUGAAUUUUAACAAAUAUUCAAUAUUUUAUAAAACAUUCAUGUUUUAGAAAAUAUUCAUGAAUUAAACAAGUUCAUGUAUUAGAAAAGGUGAAGGAAAAAACUAGAAAGAAAUAAGGCAAACCGAAAAAAUAGAGAACAAAAAAAUCCAAAAGAAGACCUUGUUAGUUUUCUCAAGCUUGGGUUGCUUGCCUCGGAAUCUAGAAGAAAAUUGGUGGAGGAAAAAUAUAAAUAAAAACCGCAAUAAAAAGGUUGCGGCCACCUGGUGAUAAAGAUUGAAGGCUUAAGCCAUGCACAUAUUUAUUAGACAGAAACUUACUCACAUAAGCCAAGGUGCCUUUGUUGCCGACGUUGUCAACGCUUCGAAUGGUUGCAGAUCGCCGUCGUAUUGUUUAUGCACGUCCUUGAUCUUGUCGAGGCUCCUCGUUCUCUCGGGGAUCUCAAGAACUAGCGCUUUCACGGACAUCACUUCUUCUGUUACCGCAUCGUGAAUUUGGGCUUGAAGAGGUAGUCUGGUAGAUCGAGCGUGGGAAGUAGGCUCUGAUACUACUUGUUAACAAUUUGAGCUUAUGUUCCUCUCAGUUGACCUCAACACACAUUGAUUUCAUAGAAGCCACUAGAGUUUGAGACUUGUUGGUGGAGAAGAACAGUAGAAAGGGGGAGGAUGGCCAUCGCAACACAGUUUGUUAUCAAUCGAUGCCUUCCUCAAUGCGCUAGAUAUAUUAAUAGUUGGUUUAUAUUGCUUGGUGCAACCUCACCACCUUAUCCACAUCCAACCCAUAAGCAUUGUUAGUUUUUGUACCCUCGGUAAUGUACUUGCUGAGUCCAAACGACUCACAGAUACAUCAACAACCCCAAGUGCAGAUGCAGGUGUAGGUUCAGGUAAUUGAGGACAAAUGAUCAAAGUGUUGGACGGGUCCAAAAAGUGUAAUUGAGAACAAUGUAAUUGAGUGACGCUCUCUCUCCCCCUCUUACAUUCGGCCUCCACUUGUUAGCCUACAAAGGAAUACCAUGCCACAUCGGCAGAUAACGUCUUAGACAGUGAGUACUCCAAAUUGAAUGCAUUAGCCAAUUUUUUGCAUCAGUUUUUGGUAUUGGACAACUAGGGACUAAAGUGAAUAUACACGGCAAGUUCAAGCACUGUAUAUAAAUUUACCUCUAGUAUCUCAUAGUAUACGGAAACACACUUCCGUUUCUAAAGAUUGGGCGGACGCAUGACAACUUCAGGCGAUGCUGACUAGACCUAACUAGACUAGACGUGACUUGAUCUCACAGGCAUGGCUCUAACCGAACUGGCCAGACCGAGACAACCGCGAAGGAAGGGCUCAUCCCAUGGUGACAUUUGAACACUUCUUUUAACUUUGAACAUGUAUCCAACGCGAAUGAUCACCGAUGUGUACAAUACUAUGAGUCCGCGAGGAGUGCUCACCUAUAGACUGAGAGCGCUGCGGCGUGAGGAAGGAUGGACGAGGUGAUGCGGAGGUUGGGACCGUGGGUGCUCGGCGACAACAUCAGUUUCUGUCUCUGCCCGUGUCGACGCCUUUACCACCGUGUUGUUCUUAAUCUUGAGGGAGACCUGACGACACACCUCGGCGGGGGUCAGCUUCUCCGCCUCCGGACCUGCACUAGAUACAACGGCUAUUUCUUGAGUUGUUGCUUCUUCUUCUUCGGUUGCUUCUUACCAACGUUGGUGUGAGUCUCCUCCACGGAUCUGGUCACUGUCAUGGAAACCAUCUUAGCAACAAUAGUAUUACACAACAACAACAAUGGCAUGACGAGAACUAGAUCCACUGAGCAGCCUCACACCGACAUGUCAUUGUCUAUGUGGGUUACUAGCAACUAAACAAUAUAUUUCUAUGUAUCUAGCAUGCAUGUCCAGUAGAUGGUUACGAAGAUCAUAUAUGUAUGUGUAUAUGUAUCUAUUUAUCCCGAGCAGACAAAAACAAGGACAAUGAAAACUAUUAAUGGCAUUGUUUAGUGUGAUGCAUUGACGCUUAAUGUGAUGGAUGGAUGUCAGGCAUGAAAAAGAAAAGCAUGCUUAAUGUGUUGGAUGAGUCCAAAAAAGUGUAACUGAGGCAUAGAACUACAUGUGACAAGAACUAGUAGAAAACUACAACAAUACACACAACAAUGAUCAUUACGAAUGGUAUAGUGAGGAGGAGGGCUUGCGUACCAGUGGAGCGAGAGCGUGGCCACCCUAAGGCUGGGACCACCGGUGCCCGAUGGUGACAUCAGAUUUGCCGCCUCUGCCCUCACCACCUUAUGGUUCAUGUACCUUGGUGAGGGCCAGCUUCGGUAUGGGAGAGGGAGUGUGCGCGGGCGUCUCGCGGUGGUUGUAAGAGUGCUUUCUAUGACCUCGUUGGAGCAGCACUGGUGCGUCCAGCCCCGUGAUACCAUUGGUGCUGCAAUUGCCAACGUUGGAUCCCUGGAAAGUGUGCGCGGCAACGUUGUAGAGCAAGUGACUCACGUGCGCAGAGGGUGAGCACAACUGGCCAGCGGGGGAGGAGUGCGACCCAAUGGCUUGAGCUUCUCGAGCAAGGUGCGGGCGAUGCCGUCGGCAUGAGGCAUAGGCGGAGAGUGUGAGGGAGUGUGUGUUGACUCGCGUGCGUGAUCAAAGUGAAAUGGCAGCCAAGGAGUCAAGGAGGAGGGUGCUACAUGAAACAUUGGUCUGAUGAAAGGCUCAUCUCGGUCGAGGCACUCACGAUUGCUGCUCGGGAUGUCACGUCUCCCAACCACUCCAUAUUGAGCGUGGCGUCAAUGGACAUGAACCACAUGAUGAGGUGGCCAAAAUCCCCCUCUCGCCCGAUUUUGCUCUCGGCUUUCUUACUUCUUCCCAUGCCGUGUUAUAUGUGAUCAAGUCAGAAAUUAUUUUUUUGUUUUCUUUCUUUCGGUGUGCAUGUUUAUUUUGGUACGAGACGAACGAUUGGAGCAGGGCCUAUCUGGUACCUGACAGCGUCGUCUGAUCUAUUCUUGUUGUUGGAUUUUGCCAAUCUUUGCCAGUUUGGUUGCCCGCACCAAAUUGGCAAAAUUCAGCAAAGAGGUCAGUUACUCUGUCAGGAACCUAAUAGGCCCUGCUCCAAUCGGCCAACUUGCUGCAAAAAAUGAACGCACAUCAAAGGAAAGGAAACAAAAAGGUAAAUCUGGACUAAUCUCAGAAAACACUACACAGGAAGAACUAAGAACACUGAGAGCAAAACCACGCUAGAGAGGGAUUUUGGCUACCUCGUCAUGUGAUUCAUGUCCAUUGCCGCGAGGCUCGGUAUGGAGUGGCUUGGUGACACGAUAUCACGAACAACAACCGUAAGUGCCUCGACCGAGGAGGAGCCUUGCGUCGGAUCAUCAUCUCUCAUCUAGUAGCCUCCUCUUUGUCUUCUUCGCUGAUGUUUCACUCUAAUCGCAGGUAAGCCAACACAUGCUCCCCUCCCACUCUCCAUCUAGGCCUCGCGCUACCGGCAUCACCCGCACCUCGCUUGAGCAGCACAAGUUGUUGGGUCCGCCCCACACCUGCCAGUGGUGGUGUGCUCACCCUCUGCCUCGUGAGCCACCAUCUCUACAACGUUGCCAUGCACACCUUCCAGGCACCAACGUCGGCAGUUGCGGCGGCAACAACAUCGCAGGCUAGACGCACGCGUACUACUCCAAUGGGUCCAUAGGAAGUGUUGGCGCGGCCACCGCGAGCCGUCCGUGCACACUCCCGCACCCGAAGCAGAGCUAACCCCUCGCCGAGGUGUGCCACCGGUCAUCCCUCAAGUACUAGAACCACAAGGUGGGGAGGGCGGAGGCAGUGAAGCUGAUGCCACCAUGCGGCGCCGGUGCUCCCAGCCUCAGCGCGGUCAUGCUCUCCUCCACAAGUAAUGUAGGCCCUUCCUCCUCGCUAUACCAUCCAUACUCAUCAUUACUACUAUAGACACGACCCACUAGAAAUAUGUGGGCGUGCGCACGAAAAAAGAAAAGGACAAAAACAAGUAUGCAUGUUUUAGGGAAAAAAUAAGUACUACAUUGACAUCUCUAGUGAUAAGGUGCUCGAAUAUGGAAGUGCCUAAGAGCAAACGUGAACCAUUAUUCUUGAUUAAAGCCUGAGUCACUGCAAGAAAGUAAUGUUUAUGAUUGAAACCUUCUUUUAGAGUAUGUCCGUGGUUCUAAACGCUUGAUAUUAUGUGACACUAACACUGUUUACAUAUAAAGGGAAAACACAUUUCACUUCCAUAAAAAUAAUGGUGUGCAUUUGGGGUAUCUCAUGUGCUCCGGCGAAAGGUAGUGAUGUGAAUGCAAGCUUGGCUUUAUAAGCUAGAGAAGAACCAUACUUUUCGUUAUGAAUAUGUCAAACAAGUAUGGUAUGAUACUACAUGUAAGGGUUAAUUUCGUGACUUAGUGGAGAAUAAGACACAAGCACAACAACCUCUCAAUUGAUUAGAUCCAUAUAAAUAUCUACCAAAAAAUAUUUGUAAGCAAAGGCACAAUAGUACAAGAAAAGUUAGCCGGCUUUAGGAGAUACCAACAAUCACACCUCUCAUUUUGCCAAACAAAAUAGUUUGUCAUUUUGCUAAGAGAAUUUGAUGGCUUCAUAAUGCACCGAAUAGAUAAGUGUGUUUGUGUGUGUGCGUGUGCAUGUGCGUAAUGCAUUAGAGCUUUUUUCCAUGAGAAUUUAAUGGUUUAUUGCACUGCUAGGGUGAAACAUUCAUUACUAAUACAGUCUGGUAGAACAAUUUUAUCUUUUCCAAAGUGUCCAAGCUAGCCUAGUAAAAUGGUGUUUCUUUUUUCUAGUUAAAGUCUCACUUGGAUAGCCAAGGUUUCGUUGUAUCAGAUCAAAAAACUAACAUGUAAGAUUAUGUGAGAUAACUAAACAUGAUAAACUUCACUUUACGCAUUUAUUUUUGUUAGAGAUUAUAAAAGUGUAACUCAACUAAAAAGUAAUUGAAUAAAUAAAGAAAGGAAAAUGGUGAUAAAUAAGAUAAAGCGAACAUAUCUGAGGUUCCAUUUCUUUUGAUGUUAGCCACACUAUAUCUUGUUCUUCAACAGGUGUGAUCACCUAAAACAAAAAAACAUGCCAUUGCUUUUCUCCAAUGCCUCUCUCUCUGAGGGCAAAGAUGUUUCAGUUUCUUUCAAUGUGUCUAGACAAAUAACAAAAAUAUUUUUUAGAUAAAAAUUAGGAUCUAAAAAAGAACAAGAGAACAUACAAACUUUAGCCUCAAUCGUACACGAAGACAAUAUGCAAUGAUUUAUAAGGAUGAAUAAGACUGUUAUAAAAUAUAUGAAUCGUACGACAAUAACUAUUUUGGUUGGAUCGUGAAAAAAUCUUCUACAAAGAUGAGAGAAAAUCAUUUGUCAACAUUAUUUGUAGAUAGUGGAAGAAGUUUGAGUCAAAUAUGGUAGACCAAAUAGAGAAAUUGUGACAACUACUCUUGAUAGAUCGUGAACAAACAGUUUGAUAAAAUAAGACAAGAUAAACAUGGGUUGUAUGUAAAUCUUGUAUAAGAGCUUGAUUAAAUCUAGGUGGAUUUUAAAGUGGGCUUUAAAUAAAGUUGCAAUGGAUCAUUCUAAGAGACCUUGACAAAUUGAAUGGAACAUGUAGAGCUUGACUAAAUCUAGGUGGAUUUUAAAGUGGGCUUUAAAUAAAGUUGCAAUGGAUCAUUCUAAGAGACCUUGACAAAUUGAAUGGAACAUGUAGGGGUUUUUAUAUGGUAGAUCAUAAAAGAAGUGAGCUAUUGAAUCGUGGUGGAUCAGGAAGAUGAUUUUUUAUAGCGAUAACAAGAAUGGACAUGGGAUAUAUCUAGAGGUAUUGAAAGAAGUAUGUCAUCGAAAUCGUCAUUGUAAGAGUAAUGAUUUUGACCCCAAAAAGUAAUGUGAGUUGAAAACUUCAAGAUACUUCAAAACUUUUAUCCAGAGUAGCAACAAAAACUAUAUAAGAAUUUUCUGAAAAUAUGAUAACAAAUUCAGAUAUAAGGAAGUAAUGAAAUACAUAGUAUAGGUUAGAAAUUUUCUAUGAGGACAUCGAACAUAAGAAUGGACCUUGAGAUGUAAAAUAAUGCAUGAUGGAUCUUCAAGACCACACAUAGAUCUUGAAGCAGAGUGAAGGUACCGUUGAAAGUACAAAUCUCACUAGAGGCAAAGCUUUGAGAUAGAUCAUGCAAAGGAAAAGUGCAUAUGUCACUAGAAACAAUGUUCUAAGACUUCACAGUUUCAAAUUAAAGAUGUCACUAAUGAUGCUUUGACAUGGAUCGGGAAGUAGAAUUAAGUAUAUAUCUUACAUCAACACUAGUAGCGAUCUUUCAAAUGGGUUAAUUGUAAAAUCUCCUAUUUUACAUCUCGCUAUAAUAGGUAGUUGGUGAAGGAUCAUGAAGUAGAACAUAAAAAUAGAUCUCACCAAAGUACCAAUAUCAAUUCUCUAGACAGAUAACGAGAUAGGCCUCGAAGUAAAGAUCUCUCUAUGAGCGAUGCUUCCAGCUAGAUUGCCGCGCUCAUAGGAGAAAAUGGGUAUCAACGUGGAUAGAUCCCGAGAUACUAAAAGAAGAAUGAUUUUGAAAAAAAAUAGUAAAGCAAGUUGGAACAAACCUCGAAAACUCUGGAUAAAUUUUAUCUGCAAUAGAGAUAAAUUAGAGAUAAGCGUUUUAAGAAAUAUAUCAUAAUAGAUCUAGAUAUAAGGAAUUAAGGAACUACAAUAUGACCUAUCAAUAUUUCGAGCACAUAAAACAUAGAAGUGGAUCUCAAGAUGAAAAAUAAUGCAAAAUUACCAUAAAUAAUGAUCCAUAGAUCCCCAAGUAAGAGGGGAAGGUAUCGCUCAAAGUAUAGAUAUCACGGUAGUGAUGCUUUCAGAAGAUCAUGGCGGAGAGUAAAGUACGGAUAUCACCAAAAACAAAGCUAUAAGACUUCCGGAGUCAAGAGUAAAUCUCUCGUGGGCGAUGCUUUGACAUGGAUCUUGAAGUAGGAUGAAGUGUAGAUCUUAUGUGAACACCAGUAGCGGUCUUCCAAAUAGAUCGAGAGGUAGAACUCAAAUUUUAUAUCUCACUACAAGCGAUAGUUUGAGAUGGAACAUGGAGUAGAACAAGAAAUUGAUCUUGUGGGGAAACUAGCAUCGAUACUACAAAUUGAAUGAAUAGGUAGGUGUGGAAGUAUAGAUCUCAAUGUGAGCGAUGCUCUGACGUGUGCCAUCAUGGUCGAAGAAGAAGCUGGAGAAUGCUUGAAGAUAGACCCAAAGAACCUGUAUUUUUUGGAAUGAAGGCUCGUGAAGAGCCCGACUUUGAAUUAAUACAAAGCCAUCAACCGGCCAUGAGUUACAUCAUACGACCCAGAGAAUGAUGACCAAACUGAUACAAAGGGGGACGCUGGGAAGAAACCAAAACUAUGGCCUACACAAGCUAACUUAAGAAAGGAAAAUGAAGAUUACAACUUGCUAGAGGCAGAGUACUCCACACUAGUAUCCUACAAAUGAAGGACAGAGCAGCAGGGCAUGACAAAGCUGGCUGUCAAAAAUGGACAUUGCUCUAGGAGCACCUAGGGAAGGAGGGCAAACAACACCUUCCUUCUCUAUCACCGAAGAGGGACCCAACCCCCUCGCCAUGGCUCGUAGGUGUCGUACCGUCGAGAUUCAGAGAAACUCACCCGAGAACUAGAAGGAUGUCACCCUCACAUCGAAUGGUGGACCUUGGGAGACCACCUCGAUUUGGGAUAAGCCAUGCCGGCAGCAUCACCACUAACCGCGCCCAACUAGUUGGAGAAGGAAUGCUUAAUGGAGUCGGACGCCAAAGAGGAGGCAGCAGGGAACCGAGCAAAAAUGCGAGAGGCAAGGCAGCAAAGCACCACCGUUAAGAAGACCCAGGUCUCUUCAGUUUACAUGAAGCCACAGCCGUUGGGAAGGGGAACCCUAUCCCCUACCGUCAGGAUCGAGAUGCCACAUCGCCAGGACCGAGAGGUAUCCACCACCACCAGAGAGCACCAACCAGAAGAGACGACGGUGCCUACAUUCCACACCGCAUCCACACAAGCUCGAGACACAAGCAACCUGAAUCCCGCGCCUGCACAUCCUCCCAUCCGAGCCCCUACACCCACAACGAUGACUUUAAGAAGGUCACGACGCGCGAGGCGCCACCGCCGCCAAAUCCAUAGGGGAUUGUGGGUUUUCACCCUGGCAGGAGGUCGGGGUCGAGAGUUGGGACCUCAGCAGCGCCCCCAUGGAAGAAAGCAGCGCCCUUGGGCGUCGCCCCCGCCGGGCCAGCCAAGUCGGACAGGGUUUCCCCUGGGCCCCAAGCUACUCCACCAUGCUCACCAACACCUAAGCCAACGAGCGAAUCGCAGUCCAUGGCAUAUAGAGCGAGAGAGGCAAUAGGGAGGCGGGAUCUCGUACCUUCAGAUCUGACGCAUAUGAGAUAUGCGCCGCGACAGAAACUCUACCAGCGGCACGCCACCCUCACGACCGAGCAUGCUGGCUAGCAGACCGCCUGCAAACGCCGACGGUCGCACGGCGCCGCCGCCAACCUAGGUACCAAUGGCCUCCGAGAGGGACAAAGCGCCGCAGUCCCCGCUGCCACCUUCACCGACGCCCGCGCUGGCUGUCCUGGCGGCCGUCUCUGGUGGCAGCGAGGAGGGAGGAGAGGAUUGGAGGGGCGGCGGCGGCGGCGGAACCCUAGUCGCCCCCGAGUCGCCCG